GGGCGCAUGGUUUAGUGGUAUAACACUCCCUUAGCAUGUCUUUGAUCAAUCAGAGCAAGUUGGGAGAGGUCUAGGGUUCGAUUCCCUAUGUGUCCA